rnacentral:snRNA from 1 species
GAUCAAAGGGUAGUAUCUGUUCUUAUCAGCUUAAUAUCUGAUACGCUCCCCAUUGGGGGGCUUCGAUAUUAAACUGAUUUUUGGAACUCGGCGAAAAUUCCGGGGCUUGCUCC